AACGCACCUUCGGGUGUUAGUAGAGUGGCGCACGGGUGAGUAACGCGUGGGAACCUACCAAGCAGUACGGGAUAACCAUUGGAAACGAUGGCUAAUACCGCAUACGCCCUUCGGGGGAAAGAUUUAUCGCUGCUUGAUGGUCCCGCGUCUGAUUAGCUAGUUGGUAAGGUAAUGGCUUACCAAGGCGACGAUCAGUAGCUGGUCUGAGAGGAUGAUCAGCCACACUGGAACUGAGACACGGUCCAGACUCC
rnacentral:rRNA from 1 species